GAAUGUGAGUGCAAUAUUAUCGCCAUUAUCUUUCAUGCCAUUGAUCACAAGGGCUGAUUUGAUUUAUUUGGCUAUAUAGGUCCAUGUUCCCUUACACUCUCUACUUCAUAGGCAUACCUUCUAAAGGUUGAAGAGAGAUGAGGAUCUUUGGUAAAAGAUAUAUGAAUAGUUGGACUCUCCAAGUGCUCAGAAGGGAGGGAGGACAAAAGAGAAACUCUUGCCCAAGGGAUGAGGGGGACGGGAUCCACCAU
rnacentral:sRNA from 1 species